rnacentral:lncRNA from 1 species
GGUACCCGGGGUAGCAAAUCGUCCCCUGCGGAUUCACCUCCAGUUGCCGGCGAUUCGGGAAUCAAUUCGUAGUUGUAGUAGACCAUUAUAAUGGCAAAUUGACAAUCAGUGGGCCACACUCACUGGUGGCCAAUAACUGGGGUCAGUUACAAUGUCCAUUCAAUUGUGUCUAUUUAAUCUCCAUCGCCGAUCUUCUCCUUCCUCAUUCUCCUCCUUACUUGCGCAAAUCCUUCACCGGCAGCCAUGGUUGACACUCAGGUCGAUAAUUAGUCUCUGUUGCUGGCCUUUUACAAGUGUUCCUUCGUUGGUACUUCCACUCUCCCCCAAAUUCUGCAUGGAUUUUUUUCAAUUGAUGUUGUUCUUUGUGAUACCAAAUGAGUGCAGGUUCCAUUGAGUUCCACGGGAUUCACUGGAUUGGCUCAUUCUGUUACAUUGAAACUUUGCAAAGUGAGGCACUGCUUUAACCUUUAAUCAUUCUUGCCUGAGAGUAUUAUUCAUGAAUGCCUCAUCUUGCAAUUGCUUAAAGGGCUAAUGUUUAAAAUAUUUGUUGUGGUCUAAUAUUCUUUCACAAAGUGCAUAUUUCACUUAGAGUAAAAAAUAUCUUUUCUCCUUCUCUAUCGUAAAUAAAGCAGAUGCACUCAAAUUGCAAUUGUGAUUUUCCAGCAAUCGUGAUAUAUAAACAUUGUGUAUUUGAGAUGCUAUAAAUGGGUCUGUUUUAUGCCAACAAAAUUCAAAAUGAAUACGUGUACUCUUGGAGGAUGAAUUCGAGCUAGGUACUUCUUGGUUUGUUGCUUCUACAGGGCUUGUCUUCUACCUUUCAGCAGAUUCUGUCAAGCUCGAAUGGCUCAUGGACAGGUUAGUAUCCGUGUACUGUUGUGCCUCAUGUUAAUUAUCUUGCGACGUGAUUUCUUAUGUUGGUAUUUCGGGUCUCUAUGUACAACUACCUGCUCUACUGCACGACAUCGCUUAGUCGCCAAUCCGUUAUUGUUUUCGAUAAUCUCCAUGAAGGGGAAUAAGUGGAGUCAAAAUAAUUUGUCUACUAAUGAACUUGGCAAUUAGUGUUUUUUAUGGCAGAUACUUUUAGUUUCGGUGUUAGGGUUCUGCCUUUUGGUAGCUGUUCAAGUGUUCAUUGUGGUGCAGUCUCAUGUUCACCGAUUCUGGAGUGUAGAAAAUAUUAUGUCAUGCUUUUUUAGAUGAAAACUAGAAUGUAUACAUUCCAUCUCAUGGGACCAUAUGUAGUUGUACUAAUUAAUAUAUAGUAUAGAGUGCUAAACUAGCUUGGCUAUGUUUGAUUUAGACAAAUACAUUGCUUCUGUAAUGUUGUAGUCACAACUAUAAUUAUCCAAGGAGGAAGUGUUGUGAGAGUAGAUGGUUUGCACUGCUGCUGCUCGGUACCAGGGGUGGCCGAACACAUUAGAUUUAUUUUCUGCGUGGUUGGAGGUCACCUGAUCUUUUCAUGCCACUUUAACUCUUGCGGAGAUAAAAAUUUGUGCAGGCGUGAAGCUGAAAUUUAGUUGAUCGAAAGCAAAGAGAUUUAGAGUAUGAGCUUGUCUUUUUGCACUCGAGACAAGAGCACGGUAACAUUUCUUCUCACUCCAAUAUUUGAGAAUGAAUUGGAUAAAAUUUGGCACUGCAUUUUUUUCUAAAUUAUUGGUAAAUUUUCAAUUUUAAAUAAGUUGGAAGUCAGCUAUCUACCUCUGCUUUGUGUUCAAGUCCUCUUGUAGGUUAUGGCAUUUGGAGUGCUACAUAGGAUAUCAUACCCUGUUUGCAGAUUUUUACUCAAGCUGCAUCAUGGAAGCGUCCCUAUAUCUCUUUAGUCGUUACUUAUAUUAUCUAUACUGUUUUGUGCUAGUCCAAAUUAUUCUCUUUAGCUUAACAUGUCAUUUCAUUAAUACUCCUACAUAAGUUGUAGGGAUGUUGCCGCAAUAUGCGUGUUUUUUAUGCUUGAUGGACUCCAGACCAAAAGUUUUCCCUUUUGUACACAUUCCAUUUCUGUUACAUCUUUCUGUAACCAAUACCGACAACUUCAUUGUAUUCUACAGGAUGGUAAUUGAUUUCACCAGAGAUACUACAAAGUUUUUGGAUUCCAGUGUUUUUACCAUAUCAUGUUGAUCUGCACCUGGCGUGCUUUCUCUCCAAUUUAUGCUUUGGUUUCAGCGAUUAUAUGCUGGUCACACAUAAUAAUUGAGAAAAGUAGCAUCCUUGGUGUAGAAUGUUUUUUUUCUUUGUCAUUUGUUAUCGCUAGCCUGUUGCAAAUUUACCAUGGAUCAUGCUACUAGCAUUAUUGUAUUGGCCACUACAUACGUAUGCAUCUAUCCAAGGAAUAAUGUACCUUCCAGAAUUUCUCAUAUAUUUGUAGUGUGUUUCUUUUACAAGUAUUCCUACUGUUGUGUCGUCAAAAUAGAUGAUCGUGGCAAAGCACGAAUUCGGUAACUGAUCUUGAUCUUACAACUGCAGCUAUAUCCUUCUAAGCUCAAGUUUUGUCCUUGAAUUCGAAACAGCUCGGUUUUGUUUCUAACUUCCAUGUUUCGUCAAUCAUACAUUUACAAAAAUACUAUUAUUCUACUAUGAAAAUGACCGGCGCAUCAACGCGUGCCAACAUUAUCUAGUAAACUCUCAUGCGACUUGAUAUGGGACCUCUCUCCACCUCUGUUGGCCUAGACGACUUCUGGAGCACGGUCUGCCUUCUCUAGAUGUGGAGGAUCUGGAAUCGCCACUACCAGGUCACCUUCCAUACGGUGUGACCCUCCAUCAACUGAAUCAUUGCAAUUGUUGUCCCCGACCUCUCAAACCAGGUGUUCUGGCUCAAUCACGACCAGAGGGUCGUGCCAGCCUGGAAGCAUUUCCUGCUUGCCUUCAAUAUUCUUGCAUGUACCCCCUUAAUCCCUCCACUAACUUGUAACCCUCUGUACUAAGGUAAAUUUAGCUAGGGCAUCUUCCACACCAUCCCCCUCCCCCGAAAUAUGACGGGUGGAAGGUGGCCCAAACCGUACUUAAGACAACGGGUGGAAGGUGGCUGCCGGACCCACUGCCCCUCCUUGUAUGGUGCAGGAUUAACAUUUUUUUCAAAUACAUGAUUACCAAUUUUUAUGUCUAUUUAUUUUUUACAUGUACAUUGUACAUUUUUUGUAUACACUCAAACAUAAUUAUACAACUUAAGCAUUUCUCAAAUACAUGAUUACAAUUUUGCUCAAAUAGAUGUUUACAAAAAAUAAGAUACAUGUUAAACACAUUUUAAAUAAAUGCUGAAACAUUUUUUGAAUGAUAAGAAUCAUUUUUUAAACUACGCAAACAUUUUUCUACAUUUGCAUAAUUGUUUUCUAAAAAUUUCAGGAACAUUUCCUAAAACACAUGAAUAUUUAUUAAAAUGCAUCGUACAUUUUUGAAAAAUUUACGAAACAUUGUUUUUGAAUUACAUGAUUAAUUUUUAUACAUAGUGUUUUUUUAAUUUCAAAUACAUGUUUUUGAAAUGCAAAACGAGUGAAUGAUUUUCAAAUGUCACAAACAUUUUUUUUCAAUGCCAUCAACAUUUUUUACAAUUAUGCCAAAAAUCUUUGUACGCUCCAUUGUCAUUUUUUUCAAAUUCACGGCUUUAAAAUUUUGAAUUAAAUAUAAUGGUUGUAAUAUAUGUAGUUAGAAUAUGAGCAAAAAAACUGACUAACCUGCAGGAGGAGACCUAACUGGAGACUUGCUAUAUGCGACACGUUCAACGUCUGUCAAAUGCAAGUUUAACAUUUUUUAAUACACAAGCAACCGCGCUAAUAGGGCGGCCCGCUAGUCGUCACCCGUAGGAAAUUCCUAUUAGGAAUUGGUAAGAGGGACAUAUAGGCCUGGAGUAUAGCAGCAUUCAGAACCCCUCGCCUCAAGGACGCCCUGGAUAGGCUGACCCAGUGCGGGAGGAUUGUUCGCUCGGUAGCGCACGACCGCACGUCCUCUUCUGCUAAUUUUUCUUAUUACUUCAUUUAUACUAGUGAAAAUCAAUAUUCAUACACAACAUUUGUUUUCACAACUCACGCUGGCUCCUCUGCAACCACACAAGAAGAGCUUAACAUGCUGGAUAAAAGAUUGUGGAUAGACAUGAAAAAAAAAUGAUCAUGAGCCUACCUGAUGCAUUAAGAAGUGAUGAACAAUAAGAGUGCUUGCAUAUAUGUUCCUAAAAUAUAUUCCAUGGAGCAUCAACAAGUUGCAGGCAGUGGAUUGCUGAAAAGAAGGAGCCAUAGUAAAGCAAGUGUCGAGCUGCUGCAACAUAAAUCAGCCUAAUCUACCAUAUCUUCCUAGGCAUGACUGAAUACAGGAACAAAAAUGAAAAAUCUAUAGGAACAAGCUACAAUCAGAAGUCAAGUUACAGUCACUGGCAAAGCACUAAAAAUGAAAAACUACAGGAACAAAAAUGCCAACUAGCUAACUAGGGGCUCCCCUCCUUUUCACAAUUCAGGGGUGAAAAAGGUCAACCUUCAGCAAAAAAGAUGGAAAGCAGUAUAUUUUGUGCUGAUGGGCAUAAGCUAAAAAAGAAACAAGGAUAAAGAAAAAUGGAAGAGAGGCUGCUUUGUUGUUUAAGUCCUUCCAGACAUACAUGCUGAUGCAAUUUCCCGUGCUCUCGCGGUCGCAAGGGCUCAGACAAACUUCGCAAACCAUCUCCUGUGCACACAAAAAAAAAGCACCAACAAAAAAUUGUGCUGGUGAGUAGAAAAUAAAAUGUGAAAAACAUACAUAUUGAGCUAAUGAUUUCAGUGGGAAACUAGCAUGCGUUUGAAAAUGGAUUUCAAGAUAAUGAUGAUUUAUCAUUGGGUCAACAGCUGGUGAGCAAAAGCAUAUUUACUGCUCAAACGUCAUAGUUGGUGUUGGUCAGCAUCUGGUACUGGAUGGGGCUGUUGUGAUACGACAGUAUGUUGGCGUCGCUUGUUCCUCGACCACUAAUUGUUGAUCUGCUGCCCUUUUCACCUUGCCACCGUUCUUGUUCACCUUGAAGCUGUCGUUCCCGGACUUGGAGUUAACAGACUCAUCGCAGUUUUUGUCGGACGUCGUAGAUCAUCGAGUCUCUAGAUACCAAUUGUUAGUUUUGACACCCUAGAAUGAUUCACCGAGCACAGCAUCCGUGCGUGCAAAGCUAGAUUUGAAAGCACACAAGCAGUUUGAUUGAUUUGUUGCCUAGCAACACAUGCACGUCUAGCCACGAAUAUGACUUUGGCUGCUCCACCAUUGAUGAGAAGACCCACUUGGUGGCCAAAGACACAGCGGGCUAAAGAGAAUGGUCAAGUAGGAGGACUAGUUAUGCAUCUUGUGGAUGAGGGAGUGUCCAUACUACAAUACGUCGAUGGCACAAUUAUAUUCAUGGAACAUGAUCUCGCAAAAGCAAGAAAUAUGAAGCUUGUGCUUUGUUUAUUUGAACAAUUGUCGGGAUCCAAAAUCAAUUUUAACAAAAGCAAAUUGUUUUGUUUUGGGAGAGUCAAAGAGGAACAAGAUGCAUACAGACAAUUGUUCGGUUGCGAAAUGGGUUCCCUACCGUUUAGUUACAUAGGGUUUUCAAUUCACCAUCGCCGAUUAUCAAAUAAAGAGUGAAAGUGCAUUGAAGAUAGAUUUAAAGAAAGGCUAGGCUGCAGGAAGGGCAAGCUUAUGCCGUAUGGAGGUCGGCUAGUGCUGAUAAACUCGGUUCUGACGAGUCUGCCGAUGUUCCUUCUAUCCUUCUUUGAAGUACCGGUAGGGGUACAAAAAAGAUUAGGCUUUUAUCGAUCUCGCUUCUUCUGUUAAUGUGAUGAGGUUAAUACGAAAUACAGAUUGGCUAGAUCGGAUAUUAUUUGUAGACCAAAGACUAAGGUGGGUUAGGGAUCGAGAACUCAGAAGGUAAGAAUAGAUACCUUCUUAGCAAAUGGCUAUUCAGAUUAUCUGUCGAGACUGAGGGUACAAGGGUGUGUAAUAAGUACCUACAAUCUAAGGCAUUGGCUCGGAUUAACGCUAGGUCUAAUGACUCGCCGUUCUAGAAGGGGUUAAUGAGGAUGAAAGCAACCUUUUUCAGAGGGUGAAAUUUAUCAUUGGUAACGGUAACACGACAAGGUUCUGAAAAUAUGCAUCGUUAGGGGAGACGUCCUUGGCCUUACAAUAUCCCACUCUAUAUAAUAUUGUACAAUGUAAGGAAGAUUAUGUCGCUACAGUAUUACAAUUGGUCCCUCUUAAUAUGCCAUUCAGGAGGUCUCGGGUGGGGGGACGUUGGAACUUGUGGCUACACUUGGUCCGCAGGUUGAUGGAUGUUCAACUUUCUGACCAGUCAAAUGCCAUUCACUGAAAAUUAUCUACGAAUGGUAGUUUCUAGGUGAAAUCUAUGUAUUCGGACCUAAUUGAUUAUGGGUCAAUCCCGAGAUCACUCCAUAUAGGAUCCGUGAAAUCUUAGGAUCUAUGGAGCACAUGUUUCCUGACAACGCGAUUUUCAAUUGCAGCUCCGGAGUCAUGAAGCGGAGGGAUUCCGAACAUGCCCUUAAAAUGACAGUUUAGAUUAACUAUGCACACACCAUAUGAAAAGUGUGGCUCAAGAUGAGCCCCACCUUAGGUACAAGACGACAUGAGCAAGCAAUCUAAAAUAGCCUUCUUUUCCUUGUGUGACACAGAUUUUUCCACCGCAGUUUUGGCACAAUGCCCGUGUGCGAUUUCAACACCGUGAUCAAGGGUGCCACCGUGCGAGUGCACGACUGAAUGAAAAUCUCAUACUUUUACAGUAUUCCCGUGGGAGUGUGCUUAUACUUUUUCUUUUGAGGGGUGAGUGUGUUUAUGCUUGGGUUUGAGAAGUUUGAACAUGGAGACGAACUGGGCCAAUAUUAUUUAGAUGGGCCUUGCCGCCUAUCCAGAAUGGGCAGUAAUGAUCGUUGCCUGCACACUUCACACUUCAAUUGAACUGAGAUCUCAGGUCUCGGUUACCCCCAGAAACAAUGAGAACUAAUGCCCAGUCCAUAUUAAGUGCCGCUGGUUUAGUACAUGUUAUCCUAAAUUGGAGACACGUACUAUGGAACUGAGGGUUUCCAUUUUUUUUAGAUAACCAGUUUUGUAAGAAGCAAGGGAAAAAAAGAAUAUCGUCAUGCGUGCAUAUAUCAGGGUUUUUUCGGUCGGAAUUUCCAGUGUGGAACCCAUGAAAUUUCAAUAUCGUCCAACAAAACUGAUAUUAUUUGAACUUAAACAUCUAGCUAAUGCCAAAUAGAGCCCGUAUGCAUAUACUAUCACGAUUGGGAUUUCUAAAUCUCAGUCGACUGUGAGUGGGAGAGAUCGAGAGAAUAAUGCACCUUAAGUGCUCUCAUUGCAUUUCUGUGAUUAUAUACACGAGCCGUACAUGUACAGGGCGCGUAGCGCAGGAGAGAGAGGGAGAGUGGGACACACGACGUGCGAGAGGUGGGGGGGCAUGCACGACGUGCAUGGCCAUGCAGCUAGUCUAGGGCAGCAACUGCUUACACCCCGCCGCAGCUGAAGCAUCGGGUGGCCGGAUGCAUAAGCUGGACCGGAACUCCUGGAACGCCGGUGUCGAUAGCCCCUUGGUCAGGACGUCAGCGAACUGAUGCGUGGUGGGCACGUGCAAGACACGGAGGUGACCAAGGGCGACCUUCUCUCGGACGAAGUGGAUGUCGAGCUCGAUGUGUUUCGUGCGUCGACGGUGGACGGGGUUGGCAGCCAUGUAGACAGACGAAAUGUUGUCGCAGAAGAUGACAGUGGCCUUGGGGAGGGAGACGCGCAGCUCACCAAGGAGUUGGCGAAGCCAGCAGCACUCCGCGACGGUGUUGGCGACGGCACGGUAUUCUGCUUCCGCGCUGGAACGGGAGACCGUAGCCUGGCGCUUGGAUGACCAAGAGACCAAGGAGUCGCCGAGGUAGACAGUGUAGCCGGAGGUGGAGCGCCGCGUGUCCGGGCAGCCUGCCCAGUCUGCGUCCGAGUACGCGGUGAGCGCGAGCGACGCCGACGGGAGCGCGAGCGACGCCGACGGGUGCAGGUGGAGGCCGUACUCGGUGGUGCCACUGAGAUAGCGCAAAAUGCGCUUCAGCAAGGCAAGGUGAGGAGUGCGCGGGUCGUGCAUGACCAGGCAGCACUGUUGCACGGCAUAGGCGAUGUCGGGCCGUGUCAUGGUCAUGUACUGCAGGGCGCCUGCCAAGCUGCGAUACUCGGAGGCGUGAGGGACUGGCGCGCCGUCUGUCGCGGAGAGCUUGGAGUGAGUGUCGACUGGCGUGGACACCGGCUUGCACUCGGUCAUGUUUGCGCGUCCCAGCAGCUCCGCAGCAUAUUGCCGCUGAGAGAGGAAGAAGCCUUCGGGCGUCCUGGUCACGGCGAUGCCGAGGAAGUAGUGGAGCGGGCCGAGAUCCUUCAUAGAGAAUUCCGCGAACAGGAGCUGUUGGAGUUGUUGGAGAAGCGUGGACGUGGACGCGGUGAGCACGAUGUCGUCGACAUAGAGCAGUAGGUAUGCCGUGCCCGCGCUGUUGUGGAGGACGAAGAGGGACGGGUCGGACCGUGAGUCGAUGAAGCCAAGACCGCGAACGAAGGUGGCGAACCGCGCGAACCAAGCACGCGGAGCCUGUUUCAGGCCAUAGAGGGACUUGUCCAGCAGGCACACAUGAUCAGGAUGGUUGGUGUUGACGAAGCCAGCAGGCUGCUGGCAGUAGACGCGCUCGGCGAGGCGUCCAUGCAGGAAGGCGUUGUUCACAUCCAUCUGAUGAACGGGCCACUGACGAGCGGCGGCGAUGGUGAGCACGACGCGGAUGGUGGCCGCCUUGACGACGGGCGAGAACGUCUCGUCGAAGUCGACUCCCGGCCGCUGUGAGAAGCCGCGCACGACCCAUCUCGCUUUGUAGCGAUCCAGCGUGCCAUCAGCCUUGAGUUUGUGGCGGAACAACCACUUGCCGGUGACGAUGUUGGCGCCCGGUGGGCGCGGUACAAGGCUCCACGUCCGGUUCUCCAUCAAUGCCCUGUACUCCACCUGCAUUGCAGUUAGCCAAUGGGGAUCACGCAGCGUAGCACGCACGGUUUUGGGUAUAGGGGAGAUGGUUGGGGCGGUGGUGGAAGUUGUGAGGGCUUGGUUGUAUUUAGGGUUCGGGAAGAACUUGCCGGCCUGGGCCCGGGUGAUCAUCGUAUGUGUAGGAGCUGGGUCAGGACGCCGGCGGGGAGGUGUGGUGCGUGGUGGCGUGGAGGUGGGUGAUGGGUUGUCCGGCGUGGUCAGCAAGGGCGGCGAUGGGUUGUCCGGCGUGGUCGGCAUGGGCGGCGAUGGUGGUCUGUCCGCCGAUGGGGGAGUAGAUGUGCUUGGGGGCGUAGCCGUGGCCGAUAUGGCGGGGCUAGGCAGGACGGCGGGAGCGCCGUGGGGAGGGGGCUGGGUGUGAGGCGGGCGAGGUACGCGUGGGAGCGCAGAGCGGGGACGCUGGGGUAUGGAUGGGGUGUAGUUGAGCUCAUCGGGGUCAGAGGUGGGCUCAGCUGUGGUGUGAGCGAAAGGGAACUGAUGCUCGUCGAACACGACAUGGCGGGAUAUGACAACUUUGCCGGUGGUGCGGUUGAGGCACCGAUAGCCCUUGUGGUUUGGUGAGUAACCAAGGAACACACAGGGAGCCGAUCGGGGAGCGAGUUUGUGUGGUGUGGUUGCGCUGAGGUUAGGAUAGCACAAACAUCCAAAAACCCGAAGAGCGGUGUAGUUGGGUUCGGUGCCGUGGAGGAGAAAGAAGGGGCUGUGAUUAUGUCGAGGACGACAGGGGCGCCGGUUGAGUAAGAAGGUGGCGGUUUGCAAAGCUUCUGCCCAGUACGCGUAUGGCAUGGAGGCAUGGAUGAGCAUUGAGCGAGUGAUGUCGUUUAGUGUGCGGAGGGCACGUUCAGCACGGCCGUUUUGUGGUGAUGUGUAUGGGCACGACAUGCGAAGAGCGAUUCCUAGGCUGGAGAAGAGGUCGCGUGAGGCGAGGUUGUCAAAUUCCUUGCCAUUGUCCGUUUGGAUGGAUAGAAUGGGUAGGUGGAACUGAGUGGAAACGAAAGCGGCAAACGAACGGAGCGUGGGCAGCACUUCGGAUUUGUGACGAAGGGGGUACGUCCAUAUGAAAUGGCUAUAAUCAUCCACAAUAACAAGAUAAUGUUGGCAACCGGAAAUACUCAUAAUAGGAGAGGUCCAAACAUCACAAUGCACAAGCUGAAACGGGAAAUAGGAAACAUGUUCUGAAGAGCUAAAGGGCAAGCGCACACUUUUUCCUAAUUGACAAGCAUUACAGGUGGGGCGAGAUAUAUCAGACGGGCGGAUAUGACAGCUUCGGAGGGUGUGAUAAAGCGCAUCAUCACCAAGGUGGCCGAGGCGGCGAUGCCAUGUGUCACGGGAGACGGCGAGGAGGGCUUGGUGCUGGGUCGGUGGCGCGGUCAUGGGGUAGAGCUCAUCCGGCGAGUUACACCGGAGGAUCACCGUCUUCGUGCUUCGGUCCUUGACAGAAAAACCAACGUCAUCAAAUUCCACGUUAACAGGGUUAUCACGGGUUAGGGCUUUGACAGAGAGGAGGUUUUUGAUGAGGUUGGGGGAGACAAGAACAUUAUGCAGGGAAAGGGAUUUUGUGGCUGUAGGGAUGGAGUGGUGACCGGAGUGCGUGACUGCGAGCGUCGAGCCAUCACCAACUGUGAUGCCAGGAGAAGAACAGGGAUAGGAGGAGGAGAGGAUACCUGGUGAGGAGGCCAUAUGGGUUGUGGCGCCGGUGUCCAGGUACCACUCUGCACCAGACGCGGCCGGCUGGCCCUGUUGAACUUGCAGGUUGUUGAGGGCGUGGAUCAGGGCCGUCUGGUCCCAUGCUGCACCGCCGACAGGUGGGCCACCAGGAGCGCCGUACAGGGGGUGCGGCGGGACAGCCCCAUGCUGCCAGACGACGGGUGGAGCGGAGUUGGGUACCCCGCCGUAGUGGGACGCAGUGCCGGCGAAUGGAGCGGCGGCGCCGGGACGUGGUCCGAGGAUGCCCGAGCUCGGGGCAUGGGGGCGCCAGGGCAUUGGCCACGCGUGGACCAUACCGGUCCAUGGCGCUGGUGCUGGUGCAGGCGGGCGAGGCACAUGCGAGCCCCCGCCGGAGUGUGAGGACUGGCCACCACCCGAGCCGGCGCCCCUACCCCUGCCUCUGUUGCGACCGCCGUUGUUGGGGCGUCCGCCGCCCGUGCUGGAGCCGCCCCCACCUUGGCCGGGCUGCCCCGGUACACGGGCCGCGUGGAGAGCGGUCUCGGUGUGGCGCUCGUCCGCCUGACGACUUUCCUCGAGCAUGAAGAAGGCACGGCAGCGGAGGAAAGUGGGGAAGGGCGUCUGCAUAGUCAGGAUAGGUAUGGCAUAACGGAACCGCGGAUGCAGCCCGCGAAACAUGUUCAGCACCUGAUCCUUGUCGUCGACUUCUGCGUUGAGAUCGGCAAGGCGAUCAGCGCAGUCCUUGAGACGCGCGAAGUAGGCGAGGAUGGACGAGGACCCUUGUUCGAUGCGCCGGAACUCGGUGGCGAGGAAGACGAUCUGGUGCUCUGCGUUCUCUAGAAAGAGAGUGCAGAUGGCGGACCAGACCGCGGCCGCGGAGGCGCCGCGGCGGUGGAUGAGGCCGAAGAUCUCAGGGCUCACGCGGUUGUAGAGCCAGGAGGUAAUGUGCGCGUCGUCUUGAUCCCAGAGGGGGUCGCCGGCGCGCCCCGGACCCGUGAGAUGCUCCUGGACGGCGUACUUCUGGAACAUAACCUCGAACAGGGUGCGCCACUGCGAGAAGUUCGGAGGGUUGAGGGAGAGCACCAGCGGCACGUGCUGGUUGAUGAAGACGGCCGCGAGCGGAGACUGUGGCGGUGGGGCUGCAGACGUGGAGGCGCCGGGAUCCGGGGUAAAGAGCGGCCGGCCGAGAGCGCCGUGCGUGAAGACGGAGGGAGUGAGCAAGGACUGGCUUACGGGGACUGGGCGAACCUGGGUACCAGGCGUGACCGGCGAGCCGCCGGACGGGCGCGGUGGUGGAGGGGGUGGGGGAGGUGGGUUCGCCAUGGGAAGAUGCGGCUGGGAGGGAGAGCAGCGGAAGAGGUUGAGCGACGCAGGAGAGAACCGGCGUCUGAUACCAUGUGAGUGGGAGAGAUCGAGAGAAUAAUGCACCUUAAGUGCUCUCAUUGCAUUCCUGUGAUUAUACACACGAGCCGUACAUGUACAGGGCGCGUAGCGCAGGAGAGAGAGGGAGAGUGGGACACACGACGUGCGAGAGGUGGGGGGGCAUGCACGACGUGCAUGGCCAUGCAGGUAAUCUAGGGCAGCAACUGCUUACAUCGACUAAGACUCAACCAAGUCUCAGUCGAUCCUAUAUCUGUGGGAUUUUAAGUGAAGAUCUGACGAUAUUUUUCCUUUUAGUUUUUUGUUACAUGUUAUGUCACUUGACUUAUAAUUGGUUAAGUCUCAGCCGACUGAUACCUAGCCACACCCUAUCACGAUACAACCCUCAGCCUUGUGGUAAUAAGCGUAGCCCAUCUCACUGGUUAUAGUAGGAUCAAGUUUUAGGUUAUUAUGCAAACUACACCUCAUGUGUACGAGGAGCUAAAUAGUGCAAUCCUACCUUUUUGCGAGGAAAAUAGUGUACCUUUUUACCCUGUAUUUUUUAAUACAAAAUUCGUUUGUUGCCCUGGCGUAGCGGUAAAGCUGUUGCCUUGUGACCAUGAGGUCAUGGGUUCGAGUCAUGAAAACAGUAAGAGACUAUGGUAGUAUGCAUGAUAAUCGAAGACCAAACAACAUGAAAUUAAGCGCCAGCUGCAUGCUAGUACUAUUAUUACAAGAACACGCGCAGGAAAUAUCCCCGUCGCGCGGAGACAGAGUUGUUCUGCAAAACCCCAAGACAUAUAUGGUCCAUGCAUCUCAUGCAUGCAUACGCAAGCACAGCGCAAUUACACAACAGUAAAAACAGCACAUAGCAGUUGCUGGCUAACUUAUGGAAUCUCAGUUAUUAUUCUUCACCGGGAUUAAGUAUUGUAGCUCGGUGCGCAUGCAGCGGGCGGUGCCGGAGUAGCCCGGCCGGCGCGCGCUUUCUUCAGCGCCGGCGGUGCCCGGACGGCUCCUUCUGGGAGUUGAAGUAGACGACGGCGACGGGGAGGCCGAGCUCGUGGUUGCCGGCGAAGGCGCGCUCCUCCGGCGGCGCCUCCGCGACGUAGGGGAAGCGCGUCUUCUGCUCGAACAGCACCAGCACGUAGCGGUGGAUGCCCACCGGCGGCCGCGGCCCCAUGUAUGGCACCACCACCUCACCUGCAUGCACCACAAAUAUAUAUACACCCGGACGUAUUAUCCAUCGUUCAUGCAUGCAUGGGCGGCAAAACGACAGAAUUUACUAUCUCUCCGUUUCUAAAUAUUUUUUUAGGGAAUUCAAUAUGGACCACAUACAAAGUAACGUGAGUGAAUAUACACUUUUAAAUAUGUUUAUAUACAUCCAUUCCAAAGCUAACUGUAUGCGUCAUGCAUCAGGAAUGUACACGUGUGACAGCCGGACACGUGGGACGCUUCCCGGACGAACGCUUGGUGGCAGCCGGGCCGCCAGGCGGCUCGGCGCCGUUGCGGCGGCCAUGCUUGCGUGCAUGCUCCAAAGUUUGUGCCAUGCGAUCGCAUGCAUAUGGAUGCACCGCGCGCGUGGUGCACAUAAUAAGAUAUAUACAAGUAGAAUCUUGGAGCACCGUCGUUAUCUUGGAUAUUUUAUGCACCAUAUCUUCUUUUCUGUGGUGAUCCCAGGAAGCGGCCACCAAACAAGUUUGUUUUGUUACUUGGGCUUGGGUUCCAUAUGUAGGUGUGGCCGGUCGUCGAAGGCUGCGUUUCCAUCACGGUGUACACUAGGACAAUCUAGUUUAUUUCUUCAAAAAAAUUCCAUUUUAUUGUUUGUUUAACUCGUUUUUGCCUACAUUUAUGGCUGUUUUCCUACAGCAUACUAUAAAAUUAUCACAUACAAACACAAUUGAGCAACCACAAAUGGGUCUAGAUAGAGGCAUAUAAUAAGUAAAUGCGGGAACGAUGGAAGGCCUUAAAAGUAUGAAAUUCUGUGACAUGUUGUUCAUUUUAUAUCAGCUACAUAUUGUGAAUUCUUGCAAAAAAAAAGUACCAGUCAGUUUCGUAAAAUAUUGGAAUAGGCAUUUGAGUGACUUUUCUUUUUGGCAAGAGCUAUUUUAGUAAAUAUAUGACAAGGUUCACAAAAUACUCUGUUAGCACCAAUGGAUUGUAUCAUAGAAGAAUGUGAGACCAGUUGACACACAACGUCGUGCUUUGUGGUUGCUGAACUAAUUCCAUAAUCUCGUUGGUUAAAAACUACCGGUGAAAAAAGGAAGAAAGAAAGAUUAACCGAAGAGUAGAAAGGCAAAGAACUUGUUGGGCAAAUCAAAUUCUAACUGUCCAUCGCAAUAAAAGGCAUGUGUGAGCAAUCAUAGUAUGCAUGUGCGCGUGUCGGGACCACUAGGUAUCGACAUACAACGAUAAAUGGAAAACGACAUGUUUGUGUAUGGUUGUGACAUAUAUAAGGGCACAUGGAGUGACAUGAGCUAUCUCUUACAUGUGAUGGUUGGGUCUUAGGUGAGAUAGAGGACUUUACGUACGAUCCAAAACCGUCUCGGGCAAGAGAUGAACUUGGUACAAUGACCAACGUAUUGGCAAUAUAUGGUAGGUUUGGAGCACGUGUUUGUGUGUGUGUUGUGCGGGGUCGGGUGGAGGUGGGGUUUAGUUAUAUGCAAGUAUUUUCAUUGAGUGUCUUUUACUUUUGUAGUGUUUGUCUAUUAGAGUGUCAUAAUCCAUAAGGCCUAAGCAUUUACUAAAGGUGAUGAAGAUUGCAAAUAAGACCAUAACUAGAGACGCCGAAGAGUGGAAACAUUACAAUAAUUGCAGCUUAUGAUAUCAUUUCCUAACUUAAGUGGGAAAAAAUCUGAUAUGAGUAGCACUUAUAGUUCAUGGUGUCAAGAGAUAUGGUUGAGGAAGCUUAAAGAAAUGAUAGAUGAGAGAAAUCUUUAGGUCCCAAGCUAAAAGCCUCAACUAAGAUGAUGCUAGAUGCAAAGUGUCAAAACAACUAUAAUUCUACUCAUUGAGAUGCAUGAGAGGCCCGGAGUGAGGCUCAAAUGGUUUUUUUUUAGAAAAGGAGGAUGACCCCCGGCCUCUGCAUCUGGAAAAUGCAUACGGCCACUUUAUUGAUUAUUCACGAUGACCAUACAAAGUAUUACACCAAUGUGCCUGAAUCCACCAUCUUGGCAACAUAUGCCACUACUCCUAUCCAAUAUGAUGAAAGAGAGCUAGCCGGGCCACUACCCAGACCACUCACGUAAUCCUAACAUCAAUAGCCGGAAGCCGAAACACAUUCGGAAGCCCCAGCCGAGCCACAUACCUGGUCUGGGGCAUAAUCCGGUCAGACGCACUCGUGUGUCUUCGCCGCCAUCUUCCACAGGUCCGUCUUCAGAUCAAAUUGAGGCAUCUACCAUGUCUGGCCACUCCGCCAUUGACGCCACCAUGACGCCAAACAGCAACCUCCUCCUGCGCGAGUCCAUCUCCGUGCAUCGGACGUCGAGCCUCCACAGCGCCACGCCGCCGACAUCCGCCGCCAUCAAUGAGUGAGAUGGAGCACCGCUCCACCCUCCCCCCAGCCAACGCUUACUCCAAAACGGCACCCCCAGGAGAACCUGGACGCGUCGGAGGAAAAGCGGAGGCUUGGGCGAAGAAGGGCACGCCGUCAGAAGCUGUUACCCACCCCAAACAGCGCCCGCCACCACCCAGCCCUCAAGGCGGCGCCUUCAAGAAGGUCACGGCGCCAAAGACGCCGCCGCCGCCCACCGGAGUUAGGUUUUCACCCGAGAAGCUAGGUGGUGGGGAGUGGAAGGGCAGACCUUGACAGACGUCUCCAUGAAGAAAUCGGCGCCCGCAGGCGUCGUCGUCGUCGCGGCCGGCCGGAGCCGACCCGGGUUUCCCCCGAUCUGGAUCCCGACCACCAAAAUCGCAUCAUUGGGAGGCCCUUAGGCGGCAGCAUAGGGAGGGGAGGCGAGGGGUGCGGCGGCGGCGCUAUGGGGCGUCACCACCACGCCAGAUCCCUUCCUCGCCGCCAACAGCAGCCGGCGGGCCAGAUCGGGCGCGGACCAAAUCUGGCGCCUAAGCACCCGCACGCCUACGCCGCNNNNNNNNNNNNNNNNNNNNNNNNNNNNNNNNNNNNNNNNNNNNNNNNNNNNNNNNNNNNNNNNNNNNNNNNNNNNNNNNNNNNNNNNNNNNNNNNNNNNNNNNNNNNNNNNNNNNNNNNNNNNNNNNNNNNNNNNNNNNNNNNNNNNNNNNNNNNNNNNNNNNNNNNNNNNNNNNNNNNNNNNNNNNNNNNNNNNNNNNNNNNNNNNNNNNNNNNNNNNNNNNNNNNNNNNNNNNNNNNNNNNNNNNNNNNNNNNNNNNNNNNNNNNNNNNNNNNNNNNNNNNNNNNNNNNNNNNNNNNNNNNNNNNNNNNNNNNNNNNNNNNNNNNNNNNNNNNNNNNNNNNNNNNNNNNNNNNNNNNNNNNNNNNNNNNNNNNNNNNNNNNNNNNNNNNNNNNNNNNNNNNNNNNNNNNNNNNNNNNNNNNNNNNNNNNNNNNNNNNNNNNNNNNNNNNNNNNNNNNNNNNNNNNNNNNNNNNNNNNNNNNNNNNNNNNNNNNNNNNNNNNNNNNNNNNNNNNNNNNNNNNNNNNNNNNNNNNNNNNNNNNNNNNNNNNNNNNNNNNNNNNNNNNNNNNNNNNNNNNNNNNNNNNNNNNNNNNNNNNNNNNNNNNNNNNNNNNNNNNNNNNNNNNNNNNNNNNNNNNNNNNNNNNNNNNNNNNNNNNNNNNNNNNNNNNNNNNNNNNNNNNNNNNNNNNNNNAAAAGAACAACGCCAUCGUACUAAAAUUUGAAAUUACACUUUACAAUUUGGAUAUUUCUAUUAAAACUGAAGAUGUCCAUCGGCAAUACCGUGAGAGACGCGCAAGAAUGAUAAUAUAAGAGUGGAAUUUACAUAUGACUGUUUAAUUAAACUUAUUGGCAGUGCAAUGUAUUGUGAGUGUUAUAUGAAAUUAAUGACCCGUUUGUGAUAAAUAAAGUACUGACCUUUAGUUGCAUCUGUUCCACCCGGUAUGUUAACCACUAUCCUGCAGACACAAUGAAUAAAACGCACGCGGUGAGUGCAAUAGAGAUCAGUUAAUAAAUAAAGACGCUGGAGCAUGAUGAUAUCCAUAUCUCCAGGGUGUGCGUGUGUGGAGAUCGUUGGAAUUGACACUUGUUUAAUUGUGAGUCAGGUGCCAAAUCAUACAUACAUAGCAGCAGUAGGAGGAGUAGUAGUACAUACCAGUGGAGGUACUCCCUCAUGGUGGGCUCGCUAGGGCUAGGCGCGUCAGGGUCCGUCAUCACCUGCAGCAAGCAAGCAUGUACAUCCAUGGAUCACCAUGCACACACAUAUAUAAAUCACGAUCAAGUUCCCAUGCAUAUGAACAAGUGUGUAUAUCCAUGACCACGAGGCGAUCGAGACCGGGCAGGUGCAUGCACGCACGCAUGGCGCCGGCCGGGGCGGGACGUACGAGGGUGUAGAGGUCGUUGCGGCGGCCGGAGAUGCCGACGAGCGGCUGGUCGGCGGCCAGGGAGGGCUUGACGUGGCAGCCGUUGCUGAGGUCCCUGGCGCCGUAGGCCACAGCCAUGGCCACCGACGGCACGAACAAGUCCACCACCUCGCCGAUCACCCGCCCCACCACCAGCGGAUCCACGCAACGGGACAUGUUUUUUCUCCUCUGCGCUGCUCUGCUCUUUCUCUCGCUCUGCCUCUGCCAAAGGACUUGUACAAAUGACGCCGGCCUGCGUGUAUAUAUGGCUUACGCGGCGGAUUAUUAACUGAGGGUUUUGUCACGGGGGUUGGGACUUGGGCUACCCUCCCCUACCCUCCUUGGCGCCAUGCGUGCAUGCAGCCGGCCUAUGCAUACGUACGUACGUAUCGGUCGCUGAUGCGUGCAUGGAUCAUGCAUGUACAGCUCGAGCGACACGUAGCCGGGGGAUGGCCUCUGGAAGGAACGGCGUGCCACGUGUGGGGUGAUGAUCUGGGUGCCUCUGCCGCCAGCGAGACAGAGAAUCCGCUGGCUGCAUCCCAGCAGGUGCGUGUGUACUGCGCAUGCAUGUACGCAUGCAAUGCAGGUGAGCCAGUUGUUUACCUCCGUUCCUCGGACUCAUUCCGUCCACAUAUACAAAGGUCUAAUACGAGCUUUUGUGGUUAUUUUUUUACGGGGUUUCGAGGUUAACUUUGACAAUAGGUUGAGGUAUUAAUAUAUGGCAUGCAUGUUAAACAAAGCAUACCAUCAAAUUCAGGAGCGAAAAGAGUUUUAUGAACAAAGCAAUAAAAGUAUGAAACGCAUACCAAAAUCAUCACGUGUGAGCAUGUAUCAAGCAUAGAACUGAAACAUCUAUAAAUACGACAUAUACGACUAGCACAUGAAAGAGCAAAUAGAGGAUUGCCGGCGAAUAUCCAAUUCUGAGCCCGGGCCCAGUUCAUAAAAAAUUCAAAAAAAAUCCAAAAAAUUUGUGCAAGGUAGAUAAUUUGGUGCGUGAGGUUCGCAGAAAAUUUCAGAGUCUUUGGACACCCGAGUAGCUCUCAGCAAAAAAGACAAAUUGGAUCAAAACAGUAUAUAAAAAUUAUACUUUUAACGGACUCCAGAUUUGUCUUUUUUGCCGAGAGCUACUCAAAUGUCCAAAUGAUUUGAAAUUUAAAGCGGACAUACAUACCAAAUUAUCUACCAUGCAAAAAAUUAGAUUUUUUUUGAUUUUUCUAGUAUUUGUUUUGAAUUUUUUAUUCAAUGCAGGUGAAGAUGAGCCUCGGAGCCAAAACGCCUCACUCAAUUGUCGGUAUAUUAAGAAUGGGGUCCUUAAUACCCCAGAGUUAUGCACAUGCAGUAGUAGCCUCCCCGACGGUAUGAGGCUUGACUGGAGAUAACCAAAAGAAAAACACAAGACCAGAUUAAUGAAGAAGAAAAGAAAAUCUUAGAAGGUGGGAUCAGAAAUAUUGAAUACACGGUUCCAAAAAAGCCACUCUUCGUGAGAUCAAGGAGCGCAUCAAGAAGACCAAGGUUAAAGUUGCCGCCAGAGAUCACAAAUAUUCGAAAAACCAGCCUGGGGACCGGGCAAGAUCCUUGCCGGAAGGGGGCUGACUAAGCUCGGCAAGCUCCCCGCCCGGCAAGGUUCCCCAACUCAGCCACGGUUCCACCUCAUCGAUUAGGUUGUCACUUGUCGAUUAGGUGUCGAGCAGGCAGGCAGUUAAGUGAACUUUGUUUAGCAUGUGGUAGCUUGCCUCUGAAGAUAUUACUUUAACAACACCGGGGUCCAAAUGAUGUGUCGAAGGAAUAUGAGGUAGAUGGGCGAACGACAACGGGGCAUGUUUGCUCCUCUGCUCUGCUCUGCUCUGCUCUGCUCUUCCUCUGCCUCUGCCAAGGACUUGUACAAAUGACGCAUGCCUGGGUGUAUGUAUGGCUUACGCUAAGCAGGUGGUUAGCACCGCGGAUUAACUGAGGGUUUUGUCACGGGGAUUGGGACUUGGGCUAUCCUCCUUGGCGCCAUGCGUGCAUGCAGCCGGCCUAUACAUACGUACGUAUCGAUUGCUGAUGUGUGCAUGGAUCAGGCAUGUACAGGUCGAGCGACACGUAGCCGGGACAUGACGUCUGGAAGGAUCAGCGUGCCACGUAUGCUGUGAUGAUCUGGGUGCGCACUACGUGCCUCUUGUUAGAGUAAACCGAGAUUGAAUGAAAGUGAAUGGACCAUCAGUCCUCGGUUCUAUUGAUUCUCAAGUAUAUAUACACCUAAAAGAGAUGGGAAGAAGAGGUGCCUGUCCGUCCGGAGGCAUCCCUUCAGAACAGGUGCCUGUUGGCAAUAGAGAGAGACGGGACAUGACUGUUCGGGGUUAGACACAUCCCUUUGCUAAUGAUUGUUCGUUAAUUAGCAUGUGUCAAUUAACAAUAGACAUGUGCUAAUUAAUCCACUAAUAAAUUCCAUACACUCCCCCGCUCCUUGGAUGUUUCAUCAUUGAAAUCUUGUUGUAUAUAGAUCUUCCAUCUUAAGAAAUCUUCCAUAUAAUCUUGAGAGUCUCCUCAAAAAACCCUGUGAAACACAUAUGAGGAGAAUGUUGCGGAUAUGUCGCUAAAACUCCUUUAAACCCAAUGAGAAAAUAAGGAGAAAAAGAUGCAACAUAUAAUGAUUAUUGUCUCCUUGAUAACUUAUAUGAGAAAACCUUUGAAGAAGGAAAAAACCGAUUGGUAAGUUUGGAGAACAAUAAAUAUGUUUGUAUACUUUCCUUUUAAAAAACCAAGUGAGGAAAAAAUAGAAAGUAUUGCAUAUGUCGCCUCGUUAAAACCUUUUAUGAGAAACUUUGAAAUAAACCUCAUAAGGGAAAGGUGUGCUAACUAAUAUGUCAUUGAAAACUCCUUUAAAACCUAGUGGAAAAAAUAUAAGGAGAAAAACGAUAUGACAUAUCGUGAUAAUUGUCUCUUUAACUCAAUGUGGGAAAAUCCAUAGAGUUUAGAGGACAAUAAAUAUGUCGUGUAUACUUUCUUAAAAACCCCGGUUGGGAAAACAAAAAGUAUGGCAUAUGCUCAUGUUGAUAUUACCUCAUUAAAGACCUUGAUGAGAACCUAUAAAAUUAAACUCAUAAAGGGAAAAAGAGUAUAAUAUAUUGCUUUGAACGAGAGUAAUUAAGGAAGAUACUCCCCUUGAUACUUGCAAAUCUUGAAGCCGUCAAAUACAAAUUCCAUGAACAUGUUUCUGAAAUGUUCAAGUUGGUAGGGACUUCAUAAAAAAAUCAAUGAGAUUGUCACAGGAUUUGACAUGUUUGCAUCCGGACAAUAAAAGCAACAUUAUCUUUGAGAUAAUGGUUGGUGGAUGUGGCCCCUAAGGUCUGUUUCAAAGACUUUCAUUUUAUGGCUACCACACCUAGGAGGAACACAAAGCUUGUCUAUGAUCUAACAUAGUGGGGAUCUGGUAAAUUUAUCCAAUGAUAUUGGUGUCCAUAUUUCUCUGUAACUGGAAUAACACAGAAGAUGUUUGAUGCCUUGGAGAUAUCGAGAGAUAUUCUUCAGUCCCAACCAUUUGAAUUUGGUGAGUCCCAUGACACUAGGAUAUGGAACUUUAUGUCCCAAUAUUGCAUUCUCAUCAACUCAUGGUUUUAAUGGAUCUUUCUCUACGUGUAGAGAACGAAGCCGUGCGAGUUAUGGAUGCAUAAGAUUUGUCCACAAUGAAUUUAUCCAAUAUAUAUUGGAUAUAGACAACAUAUUACUGUACCAUAAUGUAUGAGUGAAGGUGCUCGAUAUUUUACCCAAUCCUUCAUCUCAAAGUCCGUCAUUAAGAUGAUCAUGUACUUCGUCAUUGCAGGAGUAAUCCAUGUGUAUGAUAGACAUGCAUGGGUAAUCAUCAUUAUAGGAGUAAUCCUUGUGUAUAAGGAACUCACUUAUGUCUGUUGUACCAAAAUGUACCGACUACAAUAGUUCUAUGGAGACUUAUUGUUUUUUUUAAAUAAUGUAUGUUGUGGUUUGCAUUUCGAUUCAGAAGUGAGAUUUCAUUGGGAACCAUCUAUUUCUGAAUCUAGUGUUCCACAUGGAUGUGUAAUCACUAUAUCUAUCAACUGCAUAGAUAGACGAUUUUGUACUGCCAAUGGUAUAAUGUAUGGAAAGAGAUUCCACCUCUGGAGAAUAGUUUGGUAUCUGCGUGAACCCUUGUGCUACAAGACUUGCUUUAUGUCUCGCCACCUCAUUUUCUCAUUCUGUUUCUGGAAGAAAACUGUUGUAGGUAUUGCUUAUGUGAAUACAUUCCCUUAAUUGAGCAAGAUUAUUUCUACCUAGAUUAUACCCUUUGCUUGGGUUCAGUCCAAGUGUUGUUCACACUUUGCCAUUGCCAUGGUCUUUGGAUCUGAAUCAUUUGAAAGGGUUUUGCAAUCUAGUUAAGAAAUGUAUGUCGACAAUUGUAGACUUAUGAAUAUAUGUUUCUCCAGAAUAUAUAGUUGAUGGAAAUAUCAUUACCCAUGGUGACUGUUCGCGAUUUCCGAUGCGGUUGAGUCGGGUAUUCCGAUGUCCCGGUCAUUGUGUGCACUAUGACCUGGGUUGGUGGAGUUUGCCCAUCCAUUGGUUGUAUACUACCCAUCAGGUGUCUACCAACGUGAAGUUGACUGGAAUUUACUGAUUCAGAGGCCUCAAUAUCCUUGCUUGCAGGAACCUGAAUCUUGAUGUACUAGUGCCAUACUUCUCCCCCCGUUGUUGUGAAGGGGAGUUGAGUGGUUUUUGUUGGUACCUCCAUUCUUUCACGCAUAUUUUGCAGGAUUGCAAUAUUGUGAGACACCUUUAUAGUCAGUAAAUGAAUUUGGCAAGUUAUUUGCAAUAUGUUGCAAAUCUUUGAACGUGUGGUUCAGAUCUUUGAGUGCGUAGACUUGAGGCAGAAAUGUGUUGAGCAUUUCACUAAUUUCCUGGCAUUCUGUAUGGUACUUGAAAUCUCCCCCUAAUUCCUGGAAAUGGUCCUCACUAAAUCAACAUAUUGGCCUUAAAUAACUACCCAUGUGAGGGGCUUGAGGUAUUGACGGCACAGUUUAGAAGAUCGUGUAAACUUGUAUUUUAAAAACCAUGGAAUACCUGAAUAACCUAGUUAAUGGCUUGGAAGAGCCACUUCCCUCAACUUAAUGCAUUCAAGGAGUCUGAGUGGUUCAGCGAAGACUUUAAGGUGUGCGUUCCUUAAAAUUAGCUUCUCUAUUUCACAUGUAGUGCACAUAAAAUUCAAAUAUUGUUAGAAUUAAGCAUCAUACUAGUCAUAAACCAAUGGAAUUGCUAAUAGUUUUGGUUUCAACGCAAUGUUUGGAUAAAGGCGAGUAUGCCAAGUUUGUUAUGUAAAAGACAUUUUGGAAAACUAUCAUGUACGCAACAUUUGUGGCGGGUGUUGGUAAAAAGAAGAUAUUUCUCUUUGUUAUCAUCAUAAGUUUCGCUAUGGAAACUGUUUUGACGGACAUCUCCAUAGGUUAGUAGGGUACGAGUUGAACCGAGACACAACUAAGCAUCGUCAAUGGUACUUGAGUACCCAUAGGGAUAGUAAUAUGACUUGAGUUGAGCCAACAAUUACAUCAUCACGUCUAGUUAUUGUUUCAAUAUACCCAUUUCUCUUAGUAAGAGUGGAGACAUUUUACUUCCCUGAGUAUGGAGUUUGUGGUGCAUAUGUCCACAAUGCACAUAUAAUUUCAUCAGAUUGACCCCCGUAGAAAUUUAUAUAUAGAUUUGAAGAUUCCCGAUAUGAAAAUCUUUACUAGAUACAUAGAACACAUACAAAUGUAUUUGUAUCAAAGUGUUGAUACAAUAUAUUGUGAACUACAAUAUAUGAUGACAACAAUACUUAUGCUCUUAUUACAACAUUACAAUAUAUGCGAGGGUGCAAGGUGAGCCUGUCGUCGAGGAACUUGGACGGCAUCGAACCAUACGACAAUUACUUCCCCGGAUCUUUUCGGUAUGUUAUGACAAAUCUAGUCAACAUGGUUUGUUUUUAAGUUAGACUGUCGCUAUCUUAAAUACACAAGUAUGUGGGUAAAACAAAAACAUGAGGUAGACUAGAUUGGAUCCGAGUGUUCACUAGACCGUGAAAUUCUCCAUAUAACAAAAUAGGGGAGUUGUACAUUGUGCAAGUAGCUGAGGAAAUAUAUGAGAGGGUGCAAGGUGGGCCUGUCGUCGAGGAACAUGGACGACCUCGGACUAGACGACAAUUACCUUCCCAGAUCUUUUAGGUAUGUUAUGACAAGUCUAAUUAACAUGGUUUGUUUUCAAGUUAGACCGCCGCUAUCUUAAAUACACAAGUAUGUGGGUGAUACAUCUCCAUCGUAUCUACUUUAACAAACACUUUUGCUCUUGUUUUGGACUCUAAUUUGCAUGAUUUGAAUGAAACUAACCCGGAUAGCCAAUGUUUUUCGCAGAACUAACAUGGUGUUGUUUUUGUGCGGAAAUAAAAAUUCUCGGAAUUGGACGAAAGUUUUUGGAUAUUUUUUAUGGGAUAUAUAAAAAAUACUGGAGCAAAGAUCAACUUAGGGGGCCCACCAGUUGCCCACAAGGCACUAGGGCAUGGCCACCCCCCUUGCGCGCCCUAGUACCUUUGUGGGGCCCACAAGGCUCCGCUGACCCUAAUCUUGAGUCUAUAAAUUCUUAUAUUCCGAGAAAAAAGUAAGAGAAGAAGUUUCAUCGCGUAUUACAAUAAGAAGCAACCACACCUCCUGGUCUUCAUUGGGAGGCUAGAUCUGCAGUCCGUUCAGGACUCCAGAGAGGGGGAUUUGUCGCCAUCAUCAUCACCAACCCUUCUUCAUCACCAAUUUCAUGAUGCUCACUACCGGGAGUGAAUAACUCCUUUGUAGGCCUGCUAGACGGUGAUGGGGUUGGAUGAGAUUUAUCAUGUAAUCGAGUCAAUUUGUUAGGGCUUGAUCCCUAGUAUACACUAUGCUCUGAGAUUGAUGUUGCUAUGACUUUUCUAUGUUUAAUGCUUGUCACUAAGGCCCACUUACCAUGACUUCAAAUCUGAUCCUCUUAUGUUUUCAUGGAUAUAUUUGAGUUCCUGGUCCUAUCUUGCAAGUUAUACACACCUAUUACAUGUUAUGAUCCGCAUACGCCAAGGUGACAAUAAUUGAUAUUCUCUUCGGUGAUUACCGUAGUUUGAGGAGUUCAUGUAUUCACUACGUGUUAAUGCUUUGUUCCGGUUCUCUAUUAAAAGGAGGCAUUAAAAUCAAUUAGUUUCCUUAUGGACCCCGCUGUCACGGAAGGGUAGGACAAAAGAUUUCACGUAAGUUCUUAUCAUAAGCAUGUAUGACCAUAUACGGAAUACAUGCCUACAUUACAUUGAUGAGUUGGAGCUAGUUCUGUGUCACUCUAGGUUGUGGCUGUUACAUGAUGAAUGUCAUCCAACACAAAUAUCCAUCGUUGAUCCAAUGCUUACGCUUUUCAUAUAUUGAUCUUUGCUAAGUCACUAUAAAGCUGCUACUGUUACCAUUAAUGUUGCUACUGUUACUGCUACUAUCAAACUAUCAUAUAAUUGUGUUGCUGAUCACUCUGUUGCUGAUAUUUAGUUCUUCAGGUUCGGUUGAAUUGAUAACUCAACUACUAAUACUUGUAAUUAUUCCUUGGCUCCCCUUCUGUCGAAUCAAUAAAUUUGAGUUGAAUACUUUACCCUCGAAAACUGUCGCGAUCCCCUAUACUUGUGUGGUCGUCAGUGGGUAAAACGAAAACACGAGGUAGACUAGAUUGGAUCCAAGUGUUCACUAGCCUGUGAAAUUCUCCAUAUAUAGACAAAAUUGGGGAGUUGUACGUUGUGCAAGUAGCUGAGGAAAUAUAUGCGAGGGUGCAAGGUGGGCCUGUUGUCAAGGAACUUGGACGGCCUCGGACCAGAUGACAGUUACCUCCCCGGAUCUUUUAGGUAUUUUAUGACAAGUCUAGUCAACAUGGUUUGUUUUCAAGUUAGACCGUCGUUUUCUUAAAUACACAAGUAUGCAGGUAAAACAAAAACAGGAGGUAUACUAGAUUGGAUCCAAGUGUUNNNNNNNNNNNNNNNNNNNNNNNNNNNNNNNNNNNNNNNNNNNNNNNNNNNNNNNNNNNNNNNNNNNNNNNNNNNNNNNNNNNNNNNNNNNNNNNNNNNNNNNNNNNNNNNNNNNNNNNNNNNNNNNNNNNNNNNNNNNNNNNNNNNNNNNNNNNNNNNNNNNNNNNNNNNNNNNNNNNNNNNNNNNNNNNNNNNNNNNNNNNNNNNNNNNNNNNNNNNNNNNNNNNNNNNNNNNNNNNNNNNNNNNNNNNNNNNNNNNNNNNNNNNNNNNNNNNNNNNNNNNNNNNNNNNNNNNNNNNNNNNNNNNNNNNNNNNNNNNNNNNNNNNNNNNNNNNNNNNNNNNNNNNNNNNNNNNNNNNNNNNNNNNNNNNNNNNNNNNNNNNNNNNNNNNNNNNNNNNNNNNNNNNNNNNNNNNNNNNNNNNNNNNNNNNNNNNNNNNNNNNNNNNNNNNNNNNNNNNNNNNNNNNNNNNNNNNNNNNNNNNNNNNNNNNNNNNNNNNNNNNNNNNNNNNNNNNNNNNNNNNNNNNNNNNNNNNNNNNNNNNNNNNNNNNNNNNNNNNNNNNNNNNNNNNNNNNNNNNNNNNNNNNNNNNNNNNNNNNNNNNNNNNNNNUUUUUUAUAAAGAGAUUUAGAUUGGAAAAAUAGACAUGUUUUCCACUGUCUUUUCUCUUUGGCCCCCCAAUCUUCUUGGUCUAGCACCGCCACUGUUCACUAGACUGUAAAAUUCUCCAUAUAUCCAAAAGAGGGGAGUUGUAGGUUGUGCAAGUAGAUGCGGAAAGGGACAUGGGUGGCACUAUGCAGUGCAUGUUGGGUCGGCCUCGCACCAACUACCUUCUUGGAUGACAUUGGACGAAAAUGCAAUUAAUUCCCGGGCCAUUCGCUGUGAGCCCAGAAGACCGAUAGGGCGAUGGGAUAGGUAAGUUAUGGCAUGUACGUAAAUAUCCUUACUUAAAUAAAGUAGUUUAUUAAACAGGAUAAUUUUGUCCAUGGGUGCAAAUAAAUUGGUUAGCUUCCGUUGGAUUUGUCUGCCGGUUUUGCAACUACAAUGCCCAUGCUCGCGGUUAGUGUACGUACUAGAUUAAUUAAUCUUCUAGUUUUGGGUAUUGAUGGACGUCGUUCACCACUUAAGCAUGAUGAGGCCGGUUUUGAGGCAGGUAGCAUGCACCAUUCUGCAUGAACAUAUAAGUGAACAUCACAGUGGUGUACCAGCAUAUCAUCUGAGGACCAUAAUUUAGUGCUGAAAUAAUUGAACAUAUAUUUAUCAUGAGCCAAGCUAGCUGAAAUUCAGAUGGAGGGAGGCAAAAGCAGGAUGCUAUUCUUGGGAGACUUCAUACCGGUCGUAAUGGUAGUAUCAUAAACGGUAUCAUGCAUGUCAACUAGACUUUUUGAAUGAUGUGACACACAAUUAAAUGAGGAAAGAGAGGAUGUGGUAUCAUAUCAUGAUACCGUAUCAUAUUAAAUGCUGUACUACUUUGUGUCAUGCAUGACAAUUAAUAAGGCAGCCUAAUAUACUAACUUAUACUCCCUCCGUUCCUAAAUACUUGUCUUUCUAGGCAUUUCAACAAGUGACUACAUACGGAGCAAAAUGAGUGAAUCUACACUCUAAAAUAUGUCUACAUACAUCCGUAUAUAGUAGUCAUUUGAAAUGUCUAGAAAGACAAAUAUUUAGAAACAGAGGGAGUAAUACUAUGCAUUAUAGUAUAGAAUACUCCCCAUUACAACAAGCAUGCAUGCAUGCAUCCAUGGACUAGUAUCUAGCGCUGGGCAUAUUCGAGGACAGCAAUGAUGGUCUGAAUGAUGGUGCCCAGCACGGCCAUGGCGCCGAAGAGCCACGCGACGGCGAGCCAGGGGUUGGCAAGGCGGUGCCUGAGGACCCAGGCGCCCCACCGGUUGAGCCGGGACCGGCAGUGCUCCCCCAGCUUCACCCCGACGGCGUUGAGAUAGUGCUCGCUGGACGGGUCGAAGACGAGCCCCUCCGCCAGGCGACGGAACAGGUCGCACACCUCGGCGUCGUUGCCCAGGUGGUGCUCGAUGACCCCGCGCCGCGACAGCAGGGCCACGUCCUCGGGGCUGCCCAGGAGCUGCGACAUGAACACCACGUACGCCGUCACGUAGCCGCUCGUCGCCGUCCGGAUGUAGCUCUGCUCGUACGCGAGGACGUUGCGGAGGAUGUAGUUGGUAUUCUCGUCGAACCUGUGGCGAGCCAUCCUCAGCACCCCGUUCAGAAAGCUCACGUCCAGCAAGGGGGCUUGUUCAUUGUGAAGCCGCCUGAACUUGACGCCGGCUUCGUAAUACUCGGUGGCACGUCGGAAUCUUCCUCCAUAGUCGCCGCAUGGGCCUCUGCAGCAUGCAGCAGGUUACCGGAGUUUAUGCAGAUUUCAACAAGUGACUACAUACGAAGCAAAAUGAGUGAAUCUAUACUCUAAAAUAUGUCUAUAUACAUCUGUAUGUGGUAGUCCAUUUAAAAUCUUUAAAAAGAUAAAUAUUUAGGAACCGAGGGAGUAGUACUCUACUCACAGCGACUCCUGGAGGUUGCUUGGCUUGAGGUAAAUAUGGCAGAGAUGCACCAAAUGCUGGAACUCUGGCGGUGGAGGAUUUGAGGCCGGCCAGAGGCCACCCAUGAUAUUGCUGAUGGUUCCCCACGCUAGCUUCACAAUGGGGCCACUUCCGGCAUCGGCAUGAAGCAAGGCGUACAUCUUCCGGACGACGAAGAACGGUAUCUGGUUCUCCAGCAUCAUCAAGUCAUGUUGGAGACUGGUCACAUGACCUGUCUUGGGUGUUGGGCCGCCAGCAGCGUCGCCUCCGCCUGUUUUUUCCGUUGGCUCAUCGCCAUUGGAGACGCCGAGAAAGCCGAGCAAUGUGAUGAGCUGGAAGCCGUCGAACAAAAGCAUCAUGCAGAAGGCGUCCCAUCCCAUGGCGACGUCGCCGUCGUAGCAGCUCCUGGCCUCCGACUCCAUGGACGCGAUGGCCUCGAUGAAUUCCGCCACCGGCCGCCCACCGCCGGCCAUUUCCAUGGCCAAGGCCAUGUUCGGUGGCUUGCCCGCUUGGCUGCGCCUCAUGUCUUCCGUGGCAGAGUCGGAGUCGCCGCGGUGGUAUGGUCCGAGGGGCAUGAACGUCGGCUGGUACGCGCCCUUGUCGGCGGCGAGGAGUAGCUCCGGAACACGGUAGAUCGUCUGUGGUGCCGGUGGGAGAGGUAGGGCGGCAGCACGCAUUUCGGUGACAAUGAUUUCCGAGAGUCGGAGGAUGCGGGCGUCGUCGCUGCCGUCCCUUGGUCCUGCUUAUUACGUUUGGAUAUCAGUAUAUGCCGUUCCAGCAAUUAAGAAAAAAAAUUCAAGCUCUCGAUCGGCUCACCGUUAUUGGAGAAAGAUGAAGUGGCGUCCACGGAGGGUGGUACUAACUGUGCGAGCUCAGUUCCCUUCUCCGGCAUCGGACUCGGUCGAUGAAGAACCCAAAGAUUGAAACCCCUCCAAAAUUUACCUCUCACCGCAGGUGUUGAUGUUGGGGAGCAACAGCCGCGGCUUCCACCUAGAUUCCGCUGCCCGUUCCCCCCCUUUUGCCGCGGUGCUACACAUCCAUGAAAAGAAGAUUACGGUGGCCAUGUAACCAUGCUACCCUGGUGCGGCAAUAAAUAAUCAAAUCAGAUCUCGCUUGAAACUAUAUAUACGUGUGUGUUUUAAUCUCCGUGCUCCUCAGCAUGUUAUGCCUGUAACCAUCGUGCUUAUCGGUCCUAUGUUAAACCAUUUGCCCCCCUUCUUGUAAUUUAUGCCGUUCUAUCACCUCCCUUCAUGUAAUGUCAUGUAUGUUAUCCACUUGAAUAAAUCGCGCCAGAGCAUCAUAGAUUCUGUGAUACCUCAAGAAUGAAAGUUUUAUUUUAUACUACAGAACAAUGACAUUCUGAACGGGAGAAAAUGUUAGUAGUAAGCGAUGCACCCACCCUCGUCAAGCUGGACUCAAAAUGCUACGUUCCACCACAAGUUCGAGCAAAUAGCAGCUGCAAGACUGGCUACGUAUCUUCAAAAUGACAACCCCGCAACAACAAAUAAUCAUAGAUUGCAGCUCUGAAAGACUCAUCAUAGACCUUGCCAUGUCCAACGAGUUUUGAUUACGCCGCUCGGACACACCAUGUUAUUUGGCGUGUCUCACAGGAUGUAAGCUAUGGAACAAUUCUACAAUUCUUC